CCUACGGGUGGCAGCAGUGGGGAAUAUUGGGCAAUGGGCGCAAGCCUGACCCAGCAACGCCGCGUGCAGGAAGAAGGCUUUCGGGUUGUCAACUUCUUUUCUGAGGGACGAAGAAAGUGACGGUACCUCAGGAAUAAGCCACGGCUAACUACGUGCCAGCAGCCGCGGUAAUACGUAGUUGGCACGAGUUAUCCGGAUUUCUUUGGAGAAAAGGGCGUGUAGGCGGGAAAGCAAGUCAGAUGUGAGAACUCAGGGCUCAACCCUGAGCCUGCAUUUGAAACUGUUUUUCUUGAGUGCUGGAGAGGCAAUCGGAAUUCCGUGUGUAGCGGUGAAUGCGUAGAUAUACGGAGGAACACCAGUGGCGAAGGCGGAUUGCUGGACAGUAACUGACGCUGAGGCGCGAAAGCGUGGGGAGCAAACAGGAUCAGAUACCCCAGUAGUC
rnacentral:rRNA from 1 species